rnacentral:miRNA from 1 species
CGCGGCCAUGGGCGCCGGGGCGGCGGGUCCUGGCGGCGGGGCGGUCGCGCGGCGGGCGCAGGUGCGGGCCGGGCCGGGCCGGGCGGGCGCGGAGC